ensembl:lncRNA
CAGCUUCCCUUGGUGCGGUAUGGAGUGUGAAGUCCCUGGUUUCUGUAGGAAGCUCAGUGUUUCUUCCAGGUUUUCCUUUAUAUCCUCUAGAAGCGCCUGAAGAACGUGGAGGAGCUGGUUAGCGGCCUCUCUGCUUUUGGAGUUCUGUCAUCCGUGAGUGGUGACACCUAAUCAGAUGGUCGUCUUACCUCCCACGAAGCAGAACACAGCAGUCAGUUAGAAGCCACACAGAUCGUCCGAGUGCUGAAAUUAAUUGAUCAUGGCGUCCUUUUAUUGCAGUGGAUCGUAACGACUGGCUCCCCAUGGAGCAAAACCCAGAGCAUGAGUAGCGAGCUUCUAGUCAACGAGAGGGACUUUCUUUAAAAACAGAGUCUCACUGGGUAGCCCCAGCUGCCUUGAGUUUACCCUUGGCGUCCUGAGAGCUGGGAAGGGUGUGCCACCACAUCUGGCUUAGAAGAGAAAUGUCAUCCCCAAAGCCAGCCACGUGCCAGCAGAGAAUAAACUGGGAGGCACCAAGCAGCCAGACCGAGCCGGCUGACUGUUGAGAUUUUCUGAUUAUCUGAGCUUUUGACGAGAGUGAUACACUCGGGAGUGAAUAGUGACUACUGCUGUUGCCAGAGUGACAGGCUGGAUUGGGAAGCGUGGGUGCCCCAUUUUCAGGUCAGGUUGCUACACUUCCAGGGGACAUAAUCUGACUCUCAGGCCUGGUGCAGUCUAAAGUGUUAGCAGCUGGGGGAUGAUGGUCAUCACAAGAGGUCAGAUGACAAAGGUUCAGCCACCUAGGUUUUAAGUGGCGACUAAAGACAUAUACUUUUCUAAACUAUCCAGGUUUUUUUAAUCAAAGAAAAGUCCGUUUAUAUUGACUACAGAAUCCCUUUGCAGCUAGCUGUGUGGUGAUUGAAAGUCUGCAACCAGUGCUUUGGUGUACUGAUGGUAUUUGUGUCGAAACAGAACUAUGGAGCAGGUACGACAGCUCGGUUCUCUCUCAGUGACCCGAAGUCACACAGAAUUGGAGCCACAGCCUGAGCUAUCUCUGCUGAUCACCAUCCACUGUCUGGAAUAUUCUUACCUCUCUCUUAAACAAUGGAGAACUCCUUGGGAAACAUGCUUCGCCACUUACCUGGAGGGAUCUGGGGGUUUGGUUUGGAAAACAUCGUGAGUUGAAACAUGCCACUCUUGACAGGAUUUACCCAAUUAUCACUCUGUGCCCCAUAGAUAUAUAUACAUAUAUAGUACAAAAGCCAAGUCAUGCAACAUGGCACAGAAGAGGAUUUUGAUACCAAAUGAUAGGGACGUGUAGUCUGAGCUCCAGGGUGGCCAGGCCAGAAUCCUUAUGUGAGAGGUGAGGAGCCUGGAACUUGUGUCCUAUUGGCCCAGGGCUUUUUAACUAAUACUACCAAAUGUCGGAAAAUACACACCUUAUCCCUGCUGUUCCUAAUCGAGGACUUUGUAAGAAAUAAUAGACUCUGUUCAUGAGUGACAUUUACUCAGUGUAUCGCACUUACUAGCUUUAAAUUACAUUUUACUGCAAUGGUGAAAUAUUUUGGAAUCUUUUGUACAACCGUCAAUAAACGUACUAUUUUUAAUUUGUGAAAUACUUUGCCCUCUCCAAGGAAUUAAAACAUGCCUCCCCCCCACCCCCUGCCGCCUAAGAGCUAAGAAAAUGCUUUCAGACAGGAAGUAGAAUUAUUUGAGUUCAGCUUCGUUUUAAGAUAUAGCACCUUUUUGCUUUGUUGUUAUUAUGGUGAUGGUUGGAACCUGAAUGGGACAAAGCUCUGGGGGAGGCUUUUCAGAGUUGCUUUUAAAGAUACCUUAAAGGGUUUUAGAUUCAUAGGGUGAGCCAUUUUGUCUGCCGGUAUUUGUUCUGUGGUUCGGGAUAGGUAUGAAAAUAGGUUUGGCUGUUGGGGAAUGGACAGCAAGUGAUUUUUAUAAGCUGGGUAGUUAACGAGUGUGCCAGUGCAUUGUAGGAAAGGGUUGUAAGACUAUUCCACACUAAUAUCAAAUGCUGGCUGGUUUUGGUGCCUUUACACUUAAUAAGGGUCAGUGUCUUACACUGUGAAGUUUCUACGCGAAGGCAUAGGAGCAGAAUUCUACCGCACCGUAAGACAUUUUUGUGGUUGACAGUAAAAUGAACACAUGGGUCGGCUUUUUCAAAGAAUAAAUUUGAGUCACUUAAGGAUUUUGGAAAUGCACUCAUGUCUUUUAGACAGCGGUCCCGGGGUUGGGGAUUUAGCUCAGUGGUAGAGCUCUUGCCUAGCAAGCGCAAGGCCCUGGGUUCGGUCCCCAGCUCCGAAAAAGAAAAAAAAAAAGAAAAGAUAGACAGCAGUCCGUUCAAGGCUCUGUAUCUGUAAAGGUUCAAGAAAUUGUAGCUGUUGCCAGCCCAGUGGCUCAGCAGGUAAGCACAAGGUCAUCGAGCCUGGGGGUUAGGGUUGGAGGUCUCUCCUUGACACAUACGGUGGAAGGAGAGAAAGAACCAACUGCCCCGUUAGUUGUCUUUGGACCUCCACAUGUGCACUGUGCACGUGAGCAUCCCCUACACAGGCCACACUAAUAAACCCCAGCUGUAGCUAGGCGCCUUGCACUCUCCUAGCACGGUGUCUGAAGCAAGGCUUCCACUGUCUCUAGCCUAAUGAGGAAACCCCUAAUGGGGUGUAUGUGGUUUGACUCACCAUAGAUUUUCUUUUUCUGAUAAACUGCCAAUGGUUGACAUGUACUGGAGAACUGGUGGAUAAUUUUGAAAAGCUGUAUGAAUAAGUAAAUUGUCCACAGAAAUAAUUGUAGAGAGGGGUUUAACUUAACCAGCACUGCCUUCUAUUAAUACUGGUGGAAUCUCUAACUUAGGUAGUCAAGACAGAUGAUGUGCUAUCCCCCGUUGAUAGCAUAGAGUGGCCAUACCUUCCUUUCACUGUUUGAGCCAGUAGGGUCCAGCUGCCACACACCUGUAGGGAUCUCUGAACUUAGGCCAGCCUGGUCGGCCUAGGGAGCUUCCGAUUAGCCAAGGCUACGUAUAUAGACCCCGUGUGCCGAAUGUUUUUAAGUCAACAAGGUCCCAAACAACUACAGAGGGAGGAAAAAGAAUUGUCUGGUUCUGUGGCUAAUUAGGGAGGAACCCCAGCCUUUGAGUUUAUAUCAUCAGUUUUACAAGGAAAUACAAAGCUUGAAAGGUCAGGGGGCUAGGAUUAAAUUUGGUUGUUUUUAUUGAAAACUUCUCAUUAUAUCUGAUUACCUUGUGGUCUCAAUACUAUUAUUAAUUUUCUCACAGUCAAACCCAAGACACUUAAAAAAAAAGAAUUAAUGCUUUGUGAAGGAAAAUGAAUGUGUUCCUAUUUUUCAUAAUCCUGGCAUUCUUAAAUUACUGUAUCAUUAGUCCUACUUUUGUGUUUGCAAAGAAUUAAACAUUGUAUUGU